AACGUGAAAUCGUUGAAGUGGAACCGGAGAGAGUUGACGUAGUAUGGUGGAUAAGUAUUGCAAGAAUCGCUUCAAACAAUGAAUGUGAUCGAGUAAUAUGUACGUCACCAAAGACUGCGCUGACAGCAUCGACUACACGCUCUGAACUGUGUUGACAUGUUGCCUAYUCUAGUAUAUAGAAUGGUGUCUUGUGUUACGUGGUGAAGUUUGUUGUUAUGUUGUUGAUGUUGAUAAGUAUGAUUAUACACCRAGUAUAAUUAUGUCAGUGUAAAAGUCAACCACCUCUCCGACCCGUCUUGAAACACGGACCGAGGAGUGUAACUUGUACGCGAGUCAUUGGGUGGAAAAACCUUAAGGCGAAACGAAAGUGAAGGCACGGUUAACCGGCUGACAUGGGAAACGUGCGGUAUUGUUAGCGAGACGUUACACCAUGGCCCUGUCUUGUCUGCAUGCAGAUGGGCAGCGGUAGAGCGUACAGGUUGCGACCCGAAAGAUGGUGAACUAUGCCUGAGCAGGACGAAGUCAGAGGAAACUCUGGUGGAAGUCCGUAUCGGUUCUGACGGCAAAUCGAUCGAUAGA
rnacentral:rRNA from 1 species